AUGGCCGCGCAGACGAGCCCGCUCCGCAGGUGGAAGCGCUUCUUCGGAGCCUUCGACUCCGUCGACGCCGCCAUCGAGGCGGCCGACCCUGACCUGUGCCGCGACUGCCUCCGGCGCGCCAGGGGCGACACCUUUGAAGGGCUGUGCAACACCGCGGACGACGGCAAGGCGGAGAAGCUCUGCGGGGUUCUCGACGGCUUGAUGGCAGAGUCCCUCGAGACGCUGCGGUUGACUCCGGUGACGCCAAAGGUGCUUGCCACCACGGACCUCGCCAAGGCCGUCCGUGCGCUGCGGAAGCACGAGUCCGAGCGGGUCCGCGUCCUCGCCAGAGGCAUCGUGAGCGGGUGGAGGGCGUCCGCGCUGGACGACUUGGCCGGAGAGGCCAUGCACCAGCCGGACAACUUCAAAGUACGUCAGCCCAAGGCGACCGUCGAGCAGCAGCAUGUCUACGCAACGACGGUGGAGAUCAGCAACAAGGCGUCCGAUCACGUCGUCGGCAUCAACAAAGGGGUCACCGUCGGUCAGCAUGUCAAUGUCUCGGCCAAUCCAGACGCGAAGACAAUGGAGGCCGCAAAGCGCAAACUCGAUGAAAGGUACCAACAAGCAUCGGAUGCGAAGCGGCAGCGCAGGGUACAACUCGUGGAGGCGCGGCAGGCGCCGGGGAUGCUGAAGCAGAGGCGGGAGAGAAGCCUAGCGGGGUGCGCCAGCUCAAUGCGCAAGAAAACCUUCUCCGUCAGUCGCCACCAGCCAGCUUCACAGGGUUUAGCAGGCUAG
rnacentral:rRNA from 1 species